CUCUCAGGCCUAACACAUGCAAGUCGAGGGGUAGCUCGUAUUUGUCCGUGAGAGACCGCGCACGGGUGAGUAACGCGUAUACAAUCUACCUAUAACAGGGGAAUAGCCCGAAGAAAUUUGGAUUAAUACCCCAUAGUAUUAUUAAUAGGCAUNUAUUAAUAAUUAAACAUUUAUCGGUAAUAGAUGAGCAUGCGUCCUAUUAGUUAGUAGGUGAGGUAACGGCACACCUAGGCUGCGAUAGGUAGGGGUCNUGAGAGGGAGAUCCCCCACACUGGUANUGAGACACGGACCAGACUCCUACGGGAGGCAGCAGUGAGGAAUAUUGGACAAUGGGGGCGAACCUGAUCCAGCCAUGCCGCGUGCAGGAAGACUGCCCUAUGGGUUGUAAACUGCUNUAUACGGGAAGAAACACUCCCUCGUGAGAUGAC
rnacentral:rRNA from 1 species